AGCUUAGCUUAGAGCUAGAGAAGAUUGACUACCACUGUGCCGGCUUUAAGUCAUCAGUCACCCCUUUCUGAAUUGUACUGUGCUGUAUUUCUACAGCGGGCAGAGCUCAGAAUAUCAACUCAUAAAGAAGACUUGUAAGUGAUCUAAGCAGCAAAAGACGCUGUAAUCCCGUGUCAAGUCAAGCCAGAACUCCUUGUUCGUACUCUAUCGAUAAUCAUUUGUCUGCCAGACAAGUCUUCUGCAUAUCCAACAACCUGCAUAGAAGAACGCAUAGUUACAAUGUGAUAUGAUGUAAAAAAAAUGAAGUCGUCGAAAUCAUAGUAAUAAAAAGAAUAAAAUGAACAAUAUAUGAAAACUAAAACACAGAUCUAAAGUCGCCAAUAUCUAAAAGAGAAUAAAAGUUCAGAUAAGAAGAGCAGCUCUAACAGUUUGAAAUGACAAAAUCUCAAACCUGAGAGUCUGUCUGCGUUUCACUAAAGUGAU
rnacentral:lncRNA from 1 species